rnacentral:rRNA from 1 species
CAGUAGCCGCGGUAAUACGUAGGUCCCGAGCGUUGUCCGGAUUUAUUGGGCGUAAAGGGAGCGCAGGCGGUUUAGUAAGUCUGAAGUUAAAGGCAUUGGCUCAACCAAUGUAUGCUUUGGAAACUGUUAGACUUGAGUGCAGAGGGGGAGAGUGGAAUUCCAUGUGUAGCGGUGAAAUGCGUAGAUAUAUGGAGGAACACCAGUGGCGAAGGCGGCUCUCUGGUCUGUAACUGACGCUGAGGCUCGAAAGCGUGGGGAGCAAACAGGAUUAGAUACCCGUGUAGUCCCUGUCUCUUAUACA